AAUUAGGAAUAAUGACUGAUAAAGUACCUCAACCUCCACCUAACUUUCCUUAUUAUUACUUCUGGGAAAGAUGUAAUGAUAUGGUGAAAACUUGGAUCACCAAUUCUUUGACUAUGGAGAUAGCUAGCCUCCACCUAAUUUUCCUUAUUAUUACUUCUGGAAAAGAUGUAAUGAUAUGGUGAAAGCUUGGAUCACCAAUUCUUUGACUAUGGAGAUAGCAGUAAGUGUUAUGUGUCCCACACUGCUAGGGAAGUGUGAAGUGACAUAAAUGAGAGGUUUGGACAAUCGAAUGGUUCUAGAUACAUUCAAAUCCAAAGAGAAAUUAGUUCUACCUCCCAAGGAUCUUCUGAUAUUGCUACUUAUUUUACUAGAACGAGAUCCUUGUGGGAUGAAUUGAACUCUUCUUAUGUUGGUCCCACCUGCUCUUGUGGAGCAUUACCCAAAUUUAUUGAAGACCAAAACCUUUUCCAAUUUGUGAGUGGUCUAAAUGAGUCCUAUUCCACAGUUAAGAGUAUCAUUAUGCUUAUGUCUCCACUUCCAUCUAUUAGCAAAGCAUACUUUUUACUUCAACGUGAUGAAAGCCAAAAGGAAAACCAACCUCCAAAUCUGGGGUUUUCUGGUGAUUCAGCUUCCUUCUCUGCUAUUUCUUCCAACUUCAACACUUCUGGAAAAUAUCAACAUAGUGCAAAGCCCUUCAAUCAAAGAAUCAAUUUUAAUCAAGCUAAGAAGUUUUCUUCUAUGUCUUUCAGGUACUGCAAGAAGCAUGAGCACACAGUAGGCAAAUGUUAUAAGCUUCAUUGUUUUUCAACUAAUUUCAAAUUCACCAAGAACAAAAGAUCUGCUUCUGCUUUUUGUUCACAAAUGGAAGAUAAUUCUGCCCAAUGGUUACCUCCAAAUGAAACCACAACUUAUGGCUUCAGCAAAGAGCAGAAUCAACACCUCAUGUCCCUGUUUCAACAGGCUCACAUAUCUACCAGCAAUCAGCAUUCCACUUUUGGUGACAAUAUUGCUUUUGCCAACUUUGCAUGUGUGUAUCACAUGCCUAUAGAACAAUUAACUGUAGUUAAUUCUGAAGUUCAAUGUUUGUCUGCUCAGUUAGGAAAGAUACCUUGGAUUUGGCCAUUUGGGUUUAACAAAUCACAUGACCUCCAAUAAACAAUUUUUACACAAUCUACAACCUUUACCUAAGGCUUAACAUUGGAUUUGGCUGCUAGUGUUUUGAAUCCUGCAGCACCUGGGAAUGGUAAUCCCAUAAGUGUUACUAAUCCUAAAUCGAAAAGGACUGGAGGUGAUGAAUUAAUGCUUGUGAAGGGUCAGGAUAAACCUACACGUGAUGUUCCUGCUUCUAUAGCCUAGAGAGAAUUUACAAUGCUGUAAAUCCAGUUGUACAAGCUAGGCAGAUGUGUGACAGUCAUGACAAAGCUGGACAAACUCCUACAGCAGCGCGAUAUGUUGGUGUUAUUGAAGGGAGUAACGAUGAUCAGAUUGAGAGGAAAGCAGUUGGACAAACUCCUAUGGCUAAAGGUGUUGGGCAUGUACUUGAUACUUCAAAGAAAACAGCUACAAAUGCAAGGACUGGACAUGUUUGUGAUACUUUGGGCAAAUGUGUUACAACUAAAGAUUAUGUGGUUGCUGGUGUUACUACAUGUUCUGUUGCUGGACAAAAAUCUACAAAAGUUGGGACAGUUAUAUCAAUAUUACUAAUUUCAUUAGGAGCAAUAUACAUUCUGAGAGACUUCCUAGGCUUGGCACUUAUAUAAUAGAAAUUUGGUACUACUGCUUGGAAGCAUAUAGUUAUCGCUAAAGAGCUCCAAUUGGCAUGAUUGUUGAAAAGAGCCGUAUAAUAUUAGUGGUUAAACAAUAUAAAAUGCAUCUAAAGCUUCCAAGUUCUCUUUCAGUAGCUUUUCGAGCACCUUCAAUGGGAAUUUUACAAUGAAAGUUUUUUCAAAAGGGAAAUUGAACGUCUGAAAUCCAGCUUGGUGCUUUGACAACUUAGACAUACAAAUUGCACAACUUCUUGUAAUUUUCUACUGAAAGAACGAAAGGUACUUGUGCAUUCCACAAAUUGGAAUUCCCAAACUACUAGUUCCAAGACAUGGGGAUAAGAAGGGUAGAGGAUUGGUGGGAGAAAACAUUUUUUAAGAUGCAAAGUUAUACUACCAAAAUGGAGAGUUUACUGUAUUUUGCUUAUUUAGAUACUUUAUGAUUCUCUUUAUCUAUUUUCUGCGGGAGUCACUAAUGCUUUUUGUUUUUGUUUUGUUUUAUAGCUGUUUUUCCUUUUGUCCUAUGCGCCGAGGGUCGAUUGGAAACAGCCUCCCUGCCCUUUCGGGUAGGGGUAAGGCUUGUCUACAUAUUACCUUAGAUACUUUAUGAUUCUCUUUAUCUAGCUUGUAUCACAUACUUUGGUAUCUUCUUGGGUUUCUAUAUCUCUCCCUCUGGAUAGUUACUGCCUUUUUGCCUUUCAAUUUUGGUUUAAAAUAUCCAUUUGCAUUUGCUUAUAAAGUAAGUAACCUCGGGAAUGUGCAUGGCGGUUCAAGCAUUUUUACCUUCUGAAUCUCAGGGGCUCCUAAGUAUUAUGGCAGGAUUUAUUCUCAUAUCUCCAGUAAUAACCUCGUUUACAUAGUAUUGUCUACUUGUAUCUACAUUCGUACUCAUAUGUUCGUCUUUCCUUGUAUACUUGUAUUUGCUUUUGUCUACCUAUAUGAAGUAGCUUUUCGAACAUCGUCAAAAUUCCCUGAAUGCUUACUUCCAUAUGACUUCAGAAAAGAUUUCUGAAGUAUGGUGGAGAAUUUGAAAUGCUUUUAUAGUAAAAGCUACAAUCAUUCUUUGAUUAUUCAGAUGUGAAGUGAUCUUAAGGCACAAAUGUUGAUUUAACAUGCCCUGCAAUAUGAAGGAUACUCUAUCUACUUUUGUUGAAAACCUAGCAAUUCUAAGAUGGAAUAUUGAAGGAUACUCUAUCUACUUCUAGCCGAUUGAUCACAACUUCGUUAUUUCUAGCUGCUAAGUUAUAAGCACAAAAUAAUGCAGCUGUUACUGCUUAAGUUGGUGCGCAAACUAGUGACAUAUGGACAGUAGUGAUGAGGUCUCCUACUAAGCGAAAUACUGCUCCAGGUGUGAAGAAUCAACAGCAGAAUAUGAGUGUUCCAACUGCUCGACAAAUCACGUCAAAGGCUAUCACAAGUCCAAAUAGUUUUGAAGCACUAGCCGAAGAGGUGAACUUUGGUGUUAACUCUCUAAUAGUCAAGGAUACUGGAUUGAUGCAGCAAAUUGCACCAUGUAUUAGUACUAGCUAACAUGAUCAGUCAAGUGAAAAUCUUUCUAAGAAGUUGGGUGUUCGACAAAUUGCCUCGGAGAAUAAUUUAAUUGAGAAUGUGGGGAUGAUCAAAUAGUGAGAUAUAGCACUCCUGGGUUGCAUUUUUCCAGCCCAGAAGUUGAAAGAAUUAUCAAAGAAACUCAGAUUUCCAUGAUGAUGAAAGCUAACCCUACGAUCAACCAACAUGUUCUGUGUAUACUCGUUUAUCUCGUUCUUCUAUUCUAUCUAUUCUCAGUUAUUCGAUACUACAAUCUUUUUUUCAAAUUUCACUUUGAAUAGAUACUUUUAGUGUUUAAAUAUAAGUAAAAGAUUAUUCUGAUCCUUUCAGACCUUCACAUGGAAAAACUAACCAGUUGAAAAAUAUUUUUCGAACCUUUUAGCCGCUAAAACUCCUCUUUGUAAUAAGGUAAAAAUCAAUAAUGAGCCUAAUAAUGCACUAAAUCACCAACUAACAAUAGAGUAAAAACAGUAUAUAUAUCAUAAUCAGGCAAAAAGUUUGAACAUGGUUGAAUUCAUAGUUCGACUACUGGCAUUCAACUAAAACAUCAAUACGCAUCAACGACACUCAGAAAUUUUUUGAAAAAUCACAAAAAUAACAGUAGCCUUAGAAAACAGAGGAACCAAUUCAAUAACAAUAGAGUAACAGAUGAGGAAUCAAUUCAAUCAAUCGACUACCAAUCUAACAACAACCAGAUAUCACAAACGACUUAGUAAACACAGAAAAAGCUAUAAUUUCACUAAUCCCAAAAGGCCAUAGUUCGAUGACAAAAAUCAAAAUUAAAGAUUGUUACCUGAUAAGCAAAGUUUUUUGCCGAUUAAGACAGGAAAUUGAAGGAAACGAAUGCUUUAUGCAAUAAUUCUUGAAACCUACACGAAAACAAAAGUUGUAGACGAAUGAGAAGGAGAAGAUUGACAACGAAGAUUAAAAAUAAUCGAGCAGCAUCAACCCAAAUUUAUAUGUAAUGGAUUGAGAACGACCUGCGAUGGCCGGAGACGAGGGAGGCUUUUGCAGCGAUAGUGUUAACGCGUACGUUUUCCUAGCGUCGUUCUUCGUUCUAAUUACAGGGUUUUUCCUAGUAUUGUUUUUCUAAUCGUAGGGUUUUCUAAUAGGAGGGAAUGUAAUUUUUUGUCCCAAAAAAUUUGGAGGGAAGAUUUAUU
rnacentral:lncRNA from 1 species